GCAGCCCUAUUCUUGAAUCCAGGCAAGUUCUUUGCCAUAAGGGAGAAGGACAGGAGGCAAGCUACAAGGCUAAGGUCCAUGUUCAAUGAUGUUUUGUGGAAGAUAGUGUCGGAUGAUGAUGAACAGUGCAAGAUUAGUAAGCAAGCUGAUGAUUAUGAGAGGUCUGAAGGUGAUUACUUCUCAAAGCCUAUGGCAAUAAGAGAGAGAUAACAAGAAUCCUAUUUUGUGGUGGGGAUCAUAUGGUGGCCUAGCAUAUGAGCUCCAAAGUUUAGCAAAAAGAAUUGUGAGCCUUUGUUGUUCUGCUUCUGGAUGUGAACGUAAUUGGAGCACAUUUUCUCAUGUCCAUACCAAAAAGAGGAACAGAUUAGAGCACAAAAGGUUGAGCAAGCUGAUGUAUGUUAGCUACAACCGGAAGAUGUCAAAUAGAUUUCAAAAAAUUAGAGAACUUGGCUCCAAAGCAAAGAAAUCCAACCCUCUGAUUCUUGAAGAAUUUAAUUGGGAGAGUGAAUGGGUUGAUGUAAAUUCUGAUCCAGUUCACACAGGAGCAGCAGCAGAUGGGGAUGGCAACGUGCUGACUUGGGGGGGCAGAUGGAUGAAGCUAUUGGUGCAACUCAAGGUCUCCAUGAUCGUGGCCUGAAAAGGGCGGCUGCUGCUCGUUCUGCUGCUGCUGUUAGCCACACUUAUGCUAGGAAGAAGCGUCCAAGGAGGGCAAAUGCUACUCAGGAUAUUGCUGAACUGAAUGACAGUGAUCAGGAGAUGAUGGAGGUAGAUGCACCAGGUGACCAGCAUGGUGUAUCAGAUUCAGAAUAUACAAUGGAGGAUGGUGAAGAUUCCAGAGGACCACCUGAUGGAUAACAAGAAUUUCAAUUGAAUGAAGCAUUGCUUGAUUAGAUGCAUGGCUGGGCUGUCUUCUUUUGAAGUUUGCUGCUUUGUUGAAUUGUUGUGUGCUGAUGUGUUGUUCAGCUGAAGUGUUCAGCUUAUUAUCAACUUAUCAUUUGAACCUAUUUAUGUACUGAAUGUCUGAACACUGAACCUAUUUAGCUGUCUAAUUGUCUAUGUAAUAUGUAUGCUUUGCUGGUUGCCUG